AAAAAAAGAUGAGUUCACGAGAGAUGUCCAUGGAUACAAUUAUGGAAGAUGAAGAUUCGUUUGUUUCUAAUACAAAUGCAAUCAUCUACGCUGCUUCUGAUAUGUCAGGCUGGACUCACAGUUUGAUCUCAGAUAACAAUAUUCCUAAUUCGUCCUCUUCUACCAGUGUAGACGACCGCCAGCAGCAGAUAUCCACUGCUGGUGGUGGUGGUGGUGAUGAUUCGAUGAUUGUAUCAUCAAGUGCAUCUUCCAGCUGGUUUAAUAAUAAUAAGCAAAUUGAUGAUCACCAAGAGAUUAGGAUAUUUAAUGUUGAUUUCAGAGCACUUUGCAACACCAGCGGUGGAUCCGAAUUUCGCGGCCAUUUAUUGCCAGAUACUGGUAGGACAGUGAACGAAGAGACUAGCAUUAGGCUUGUCAAUGCGUUGAUGGCUUGUGCCGAGGCGAUCCAAGAGAACAACUUAACUCUAGCGGAUGUACUAAACAGUCAAUUAAGAAGACUUACAAUUGGAGGAGCAAUGAAGAAAGUGGCGACUUAUUUUACAGAUGCUUUGUAUCAUAAGAUUCACAGAAUGAAUCCACGAGAUAUUGUUGAAUCAUUCUAUUCCACGGACCAACUCUUGCAUAUGAGCUUCUACGAGAGUUGCCCCUUACUCAAAUUUGCGCACUUCUCAGCCAAUCAAUCCAUUUUGGAGGCCUUCGCUGAUUCCAAGAGAGUACAUGUAAUUGAUUUCAGCUUGAAUCAAGGUUUGCAAUGGCCGGCACUUUUGCAGGCUCUCGCUUUGCGUCCUGGCGGUCCACCAGCUUUUCGGCUCUCAGGAAUUAGUGGCCAACCUAAGUCUCAUGAUGGUAGCGAUCCCUUACGGGAAGUUGGUUUUAAACUCGCCCAAUUUGCAGAAUCAAUUGGUGUAGAAUUUGAAUUCUGUGGAUUCAUGGUCCAUACUUUAGCUGAUCUUGAAGCACCAAUGUUGAAUAUUAGACCCAGUAAUGUGGAAACAGUGGCUGUGAACUCUGUUUUUGAGCUUCACCGUUUGUUUUCCAUUCCAGGAGCAUUUGAGGAAGUGUUGGAUUUAAUAAAACAAAUACAACCGAAGAUUGUGACCAUCGCCGAACAAGAAGCGAAUCACAAUGGGAGUUGCUAUAUGAACAGGAUUAAGGAAGCAUGGCUUUACUAUUCAACAAUGUUCAACGUGCUGGAGAACUCAGAGUCAACUCAGACCAACAAUCGAGACUUGGAUAUGGAGGAGCAGUACCUAGGGCGGGAGAUCUAUAAUUUGGUGGCUUGCGAAGGAACUAAGCGAAUUGUGCGACACGAGACGUUGAGUCAAUGGCGAGUGAGGUUUAACUCUGCAGGGUUCAACCUGGUUCCCCUGGGUUCAAAUAUGUACAGAAACGCAAACAUGUUAUUGGCCUUGUUCACAAAUGAAGAAGGAUAUAGAGUAGAAGAGAAAGAUGGGUGUCUUAUGUUGAGUUGGCAUAGUCGCCCGCUCAUCACCACAUCUGCUUGGUGCGGCUAUGUCGCCAAGUCUAGGGAUUAGUCAAUGGGUGAGGUUGCUCUGCAGCUGUCCUGGAAAAUCCUGCUACUCUGACGAGGUUUCUUUGCAGUUGUCCUGCAUCAUCCAAUACGUAGUUUUAUAUGUUACUCUUCUUUUACUGUUUACAGGUACUGUCUUAGAUGUAUCAGACAGUCCAAAUUGAUAAUAUUUGUAAGAUGUUUCUUUUCUUCGACCUCACUGUUAGUGAGAGAAUCUCUGCAGUAGCCAUUAAAUUUGAUAACGCAAAGGGCACAAUCUUUUCAAAACAGUCUCUUUACCUCCACAAGAUAGGGGUAAGGUUUGCGUACACUCUAUCCUACCCAGACCUGUGUAUGGGACUACAUUAGAUUUGUUGUUGUUGUUGAGUGUAGCACCUGGAUGUUCCUCCUUAAUGUCAUAUUCAGAACUUGUAAUAUAAUUGUCUGUGUUGUAACACUAUUUUCUGUAUAAAAGUUGUCUUCUCUU